GUCGAGAAUCUUUCACAAUGGGGGCAACCCUGAUGGAGCGACGCCGCGUGGAGGAUAAGGUCUUCGGAUUGUAAACUCCUGUCAUGCGUGAACAAGGUUGCUUGGUUAAUACCUGGGCAAAUUGAUGGUAACGCAAGAGGAAGAGACGGCUAACUCUGUGCCAGCAGCCGCGGUAAUACAGAGGUCUCAAGCGUUGUUCGGAAUCACUGGGCGUAAAGGGUGCGUAGGUGGCGUGGUAAGUCAGAUGUGAAAGCCCGGGGCUCAACCUCGGAACUGCAUCCGAUACUGCCAUGCUAGAGUACUGGAGAGGUGACUAGAAUUCUCGGUGUAGCAGUGAAAUGCGUAGAUAUCGAGAGGAAUACCAAAGGCGUAGGCAGGUCACUGAACAGUUACUGACACUGAGGCACGAAGGCCAGGGGAGCGAACGGGAUUAGAAACCCGUGUAGUCC
rnacentral:rRNA from 1 species